rnacentral:lncRNA from 1 species
CAAACAAACAAGCAAGAAACUAUGAAAGUAUCAGAGCUGAAUAAAAGAAGAGACAGCAGUAUUUCUUCUUCAUAUCCUGAGUCCAGAUACUUCGCUCUUUCCCCUAGAAGCUGCAACAUAUGAAAUUGUGAGUGUCAGACCAGUAAUUCAGUGGACUGCUACAGGCCAGAGUCUCAGCGAUUGCCCAAUAUUUAUUACCUUCUGGAAUAUUUUUAAAGUCGUCGAAGUAGUGUACCAACUGUUCUAA